AUGAGGGGGAAAGUCGGUGAUUCCAUCGAAAUUGAUGAUAUAGAAGCUGAUGUGUUCAACUCCUUGCUCCAUUUCAUCUACAAGGACUCACUCCCUGAGAGCACUAAUGAAGGUGUAACACAAGAUGAUGUAGUGACAGCUAGCCAUCUACUUGUAGCGGCAGACAGGUACGACAUCGAGAGGCUGAAGUUUAUAUGUGAGGACAAACUGUGCAAUAAUAUUGACUGCAACAUGGUUGCAACUAGUUUGGCUUUGAUCGAGCAUCACAGUUGCGAUGGGCUCAAGGAGGCUUGCUUUGAGUUCCUUGCAUCUCCGUCCAAUCCGGAGAGGGUGAUCGCAACUGAGGGUUACCAACAUCUAAAAAGCAGUUGCCCAUCUAUUCUCAAAGAGUUGAUUGCUAGACUCUUACCUGUUGAGCUGACAGCAGCCAGGGAUAUUAUCAGGUCAAUGUGA
rnacentral:rRNA from 1 species